rnacentral:rRNA from 1 species
GCUUACGGCCAUACCACCCUGAAUGCGCCCGAUCUCGUCUGAUCUCGGAAGCUAAGCAGGGUCAGGCCUGGUUAGUACUUGGAUGGGAGACCGCCUGGGAAUACCAUGUGCUGUAUGCU